rnacentral:tRNA from 6 species
GGGUGUUUAGCUCAGUGGUAGAGCGUCUAGCUUUUAACUAGAUGGUCAACAGUUCGAUCCUGUUAGCACCUG